CAAUGAGCUGCCAUCUUCAAAUAAAAUAAUCUAUUGCUUAAUUGGCAUUUGUAGUAAAUACUCAGAAGUUGACUAAAAACCUCACCUCCAUACCCCGUGUGCUUUGCUGUCAAGCAAAGGAGACAAAAAUAAAGGUAAACACUACACGUGAAGAGUGGUGAAAGGGAACAUUGAUUACUGAAGUGCCCUGGAGAGGGAAAGCACUGGUCAACAUCACAUGGACAAAUUUCAUUGUUUUCUAAAGAUGGCCUGGAAGUAGUCUUUGCCACUGCUUCCUCCACAAACAGCUCUUCAUAACAUGGGCUGCAUGAAAUCAAAGCAAACUUUCCCAUUUCCUACCAUAUAUGAAGGUGAGAAGCAGCAUGAGAGUGAAGAACCCUUUAUGCCAGAAGAGAGAUGUCUACCUAGGAUGGCUUCUCCAGUUAAUGUCAAAGAGGAAGUGAAGGAACCUCCAGGGACCAAUACUGUGAUCUUGGAAUAUGCACACCGCCUGUCUCAGGAUAUCUUGUGUGAUGCCUUGCAGCAAUGGGCAUGCAAUAACAUCAAGUACCAUGACAUUCCAUACAUUGAGAGUGAGGGGCCUUGAGGCUGUAGGAUGACAACACUUUGACUGUGGAGGUGCUAGUUUGAAUAAAUGUGACAAAAGCAAAAA
rnacentral:lncRNA from 10 species